rnacentral:rRNA from 1 species
AUUAAACGCUGGCGGCAUGCCUUACACAUGCAAGUCGAACGGCAGCACGGGGGCAACCCUGGUGGCGAGUGGCGGACGGGUGAGUAAAGCAUCGGAACGUAUCCUGGAGUGGGGGAUAACGUAGCGAAAGUUACGCUAAUACCGCAUAUUCUGUGAGCAGGAAAGCAGGGGAUCGCAAGACCUUGCGCUCUGGGAGCGGCCGAUGUCGGAUUAGCUAGUUGGUGGGGUAAAGGCCUACCAAGGCGACGAUCCGUAGCGGGUCUGAGAGGAUGAUCCGCCACACUGGGACUGAGACACGGCCCAGACUCCUACGGGAGGCAGCAGUGGGGAAUUUUGGACAAUGGGCGGAAGCCUGAUCCAGCCACGCCGCGUGAGUGAUGAAGGCCUUC